UUAAGCGACUAAGCGUACACGGUGGAUGCCCUGGCAGUCAGAGGCGAUGAAGGACGUGCUAAUCUGCGAAAAGCGACGGCGAGGUGAUAUGAACCCUUGACCCGUCGAUGUCCGAAUGGGGAAACCCAGUGCAAUUCGUUGCACUAUCGUUAACUGAAUACAUAGGUUAACGAGGCGAACCGGGGGAACUGAAACAUCUAAGUACCCCGAGGAAAAGAAAUCAACCGAGAUUCCCCCAGUAGCGGCGAGCGAACGGGGAGCAGCCCGGAGUCUGAAUCAGCUUGUGUGUUAGUGGAACGGUCUGGAAAGUCCGACGGUACAGGGUGAUAGUCCCGUACACGAAAACACACUUGCUGUGAACUCGAAGAGUAGGGCGGGACACGUGGUAUCCUGUCUGAAUAUGGGGGGACCAUCCUCCAAGGCUAAAUACUCCUGACUGACCGAUAGUGAACCAGUACCGUGAGGGAAAGGCGAAAAGAACCCCGGCGAGGGGAGUGAAAAAGAACCUGAAACCGUGUACGUACAAGCAGUGGGAGCCUCUUUAUGGGGUGACUGCGUACCUUUUGUAUAAUGGGUCAGCGACUUAUAUUCUGUAGCAAGGUUAACCGUAUAGGGGAGCCGAAGGGAAACCGAGUCUUAACUGGGCGUUAAGUUGCAGGGUAUAGACCCGAAACCCGGUGAUCUAGCCAUGGGCAGGUUGAAGGUUGGGUAACACUAACUGGAGGACCGAACCGACUAAUGUUGAAAAAUUAGCGGAUGACCUGUGGCUGGGGGUGAAAGGCCAAUCAAACCGGGAGAUAGCUGGUUCUCCCCGAAAGCUAUUUAGGUAGCGCCUCGUGAACUCAUCUUCGGGGGUAGAGCACUGUUUCGGCUAGGGGGCCAUCCCGGCUUACCAACCCGAUGCAAACUACGAAUACCGAAGAAUGUUAUCACGGGAGACACACGGCGGGUGCUAACGUCCGUCGUGAAGAGGGAAACAACCCAGACCGCCAGCUAAGGUCCCAAAGUCAUGGUUAAGUGGGAAACGAUGUGGGAAGGCACAGACAGCCAGGAUGUUGGCUUAGAAGCAGCCAUCAUUUAAAGAAAGCGUAAUAGCUCACUGGUCGAGUCGGCCUGCGCGGAAGAUGUAACGGGGCUAAACCAUGCACCGAAGCUGCGGCAGCGACGCUUAUGCGUUGUUGGGUAGGGGAGCGUUCUGUAAGCCGUUGAAGGUGUGCUGUGAGGCAUGCUGGAGGUAUCAGAAGUGCGAAUGCUGACAUAAGUAACGAUAAAGCGGGUGAAAAGCCCGCUCGCCGGAAGACCAAGGGUUCCUGUCCAACGUUAAUCGGGGCAGGGUGAGUCGACCCCUAAGGCGAGGCCGAAAGGCGUAGUCGAUGGGAAACAGGUUAAUAUUCCUGUACUUGGUGUUACUGCGAAGGGGGGACGGAGAAGGCUAUGUUAGCCGGGCGACGGUUGUCCCGGUUUAAGCAUGUAGGCGGAGGUUCCAGGUAAAUCCGGUACCUUUUAACGCUGAGGUGUGAUGACGAGGCACUACGGUGCUGAAGUAACAAAUGCCCUGCUUCCAGGAAAAGCCUCUAAGCAUCAGGUAACACGAAAUCGUACCCCAAACCGACACAGGUGGUCAGGUAGAGAAUACCAAGGCGCUUGAGAGAACUCGGGUGAAGGAACUAGGCAAAAUGGUGCCGUAACUUCGGGAGAAGGCACGCUGAUAUGUAGGUGAAGUCCCUGCGGAUGGAGCUGAAAUCAGUCGAAGAUACCAGCUGGCUGCAACUGUUUAUUAAAAACACAGCACUGUGCAAACACGAAAGUGGACGUAUACGGUGUGACGCCUGCCCGGUGCCGGAAGGUUAAUUGAUGGGGUUAGCGGCAACGCGAAGCUCUUGAUCGAAGCCCCGGUAAACGGCGGCCGUAACUAUAACGGUCCUAAGGUAGCGAAAUUCCUUGUCGGGUAAGUUCCGACCUGCACGAAUGGCGUAAUGAUGGCCAGGCUGUCUCCACCCGAGACUCAGUGAAAUUGAACUCGCUGUGAAGAUGCAGUGUACCCGCGGCAAGACGGAAAGACCCCGUGAACCUUUACUAUAGCUUGACACUGAACACUGGUCCUUGAUGUGUAGGAUAGGUGGGAGGCUUUGAAGCGUGGACGCCAGUCUGCGUGGAGCCAUCCUUGAAAUACCACCCUUUAAUGGCUGGUGUUCUAACGUUGACCCGUAAUCCGGGUUGCGGACAGUGUCUGGUGGGUAGUUUGACUGGGGCGGUCUCCUCCCAAAGAGUAACGGAGGAGCACGAAGGUUAGCUAAUCCUGGUCGGACAUCAGGAGGUUAGUGCAAUGGCAUAAGCUAGCUUGACUGCGAGAGUGACGGCUCGAGCAGGUGCGAAAGCAGGUCAUAGUGAUCCGGUGGUUCUGAAUGGAAGGGCCAUCGCUCAACGGAUAAAAGGUACUCCGGGGAUAACAGGCUGAUACCGCCCAAGAGUUCAUAUCGACGGCGGUGUUUGGCACCUCGAUGUCGGCUCAUCACAUCCUGGGGCUGAAGUAGGUCCCAAGGGUAUGGCUGUUCGCCAUUUAAAGUGGUACGCGAGCUGGGUUUAGAACGUCGUGAGACAGUUCGGUCCCUAUCUGCCGUGGGCGCUGGAGAAUUGAGGGGGGCUGCUCCUAGUACGAGAGGACCGGAGUGGACGCAUCACUGGUGUUCGGGUUGUCAUGCCAAUGGCACUGCCCGGUAGCUAAAUGCGGAAGAGAUAAGUGCUGAAAGCAUCUAAGCACGAAACUUGCCCCGAGAUGAGUUCUCCCUGAGACUUUAAGUCUCCUGAAGGAACGUUGAAGACUACGACGUUGAUAGGUCGGGUGUGUAAGCGCAGCGAUGCGUUGAGCUAACCGAUACUAAUGAACCGUGAGGCUUAACCUU
rnacentral:rRNA from 1 species